rnacentral:rRNA from 1 species
GAUGAACGCUGGCGGCGUGCCUAAUACAUGCAAGUCGAGCGAACAGACGAGGAGCUUGCUCCUCUGACGUUAGCGGCGGACGGGUGAGUAACACGUGGAUAACCUACCUAUAAGACUGGGAUAACUUCGGGAAACCGGAGCUAAUACCGGAUAAUAUAUUGAACCGCAUGGUUCAAUAGUGAAAGACGGUUUUGCUGUCACUUAUAGAUGGAUCCGCGCCGCAUUAGCUAGUUGGUAAGGUAACGGCUUACCAAGGCGACGAUGCGUAGCCGACCUGAGAGGGUGAUAGGCCACACUGGAGCGUAGACACGGUCCAGACUACUACGAGAGGCAGCAGUAGGGAAUCUUCCGCAAUGGGCGAAAGCCUGACGGAGCAACGCCGCGUGAGUGAUGAAGGUCUUCGGAUCGUAAAACUCUGUUAUUAGGGAAGAACAAAUGUGUAAGUAACUAUGCACGUCUUGACGGUACCUAAUCAGAAAGCCACGGCUAACUACGUG